GGGCAGAGAAGGAUGGCUUCAAAGCAGUAGAGGAGAGUGGGGUGGUCUGAUUGGAGGCGGCUUGAGAGGGAGUCGAUGGAGCAGAAGGGGAGGGAAGAUCGAUAGAUUUUCAUGGAUUUAAGGAGGAAAGGGAGGCUUGGGGGGCGAAGGGAGAUAGGGUUUAGAGAUAGGGAGAGAACAAGAGGAAGAGCCCUAGAAAUGGAGAGAGGAGAGGGAAAAUACCUGAGAGGAAGGAGAGGAGGACGGAGAGCGUGAGGAGGAGGUGCUUGGUGCCU
rnacentral:lncRNA from 1 species